CUGAGUUCUAUUUCCCAUCAAGCUUCAGUGCAGUCAUUUUCCCCCAAGGAUGACCAUAUGUUGCGUCUGGUCUUUGUAAGAGGACCAGAAAGUAGCAAAAUGUAUUAGAAAUAUUUGAUUAGCAGAUAUAUUUUUUCAAAAGAUCAACUACAAUUAUGACAUGAGAAAUUUCUCUAAAAAUGUAAUUUUUCAGUCGUGUCUGAUCUCUGUUUUGUCUGAGAUCAGGAUGAAACCAUGUUGCUCAGUCUCAAACUGUCAGCUUGUCUCUUUCUUUCAGUGACUUUUAUAUUCCUCUUUGGGCUUAAAGUAUUGAGAAUUCAUUUU
rnacentral:lncRNA from 1 species